UACGUAGGGGGCAAGCGUUGUCCGGAUUUACUGGGCGUAAAGAGCGUGUAGGCGGCCAAGCAGGUCCGUUGUGAAAACUGGAGGCUCAACCUCCAGACGUCGACGGAAACCGUGUGGCUAGAGUCCGGAAGAGGAGAAUGGAAUUCCUGGUGUAGCGGUGAAAUGCGCAGAUAUCGGGAGGAACACCUGUGGCGAAGGCGGCCCGCUGGUUGGGUACUGACGCUGAUACGCGAAAGCGUGGGGAGCGAACAGG
rnacentral:rRNA from 1 species